GCCUCGUUAGCGCAGUAGGCAGUGCGUCAGUCUCAUAAUCUGAAGGUCGUGAGUUCNAUCCUCACACGGGGCA
rnacentral:tRNA from 1 species